UACGUAGGGUCCGAGCGUUGUCCGGAAUUAUUGGGCGUAAAGGGCUCGUAGGCGGUUCGUCACGUCGGGAGUGAAAACUCGGAGCUUAACUCCGAGCCUGCUUCCGAUACGGGCAGACUAGAGGUAGGCAGGGGAGAGCGGAACUCCUGGUGUAGCGGUGGAAUGCGCAGAUAUCAGGAAGAACACCGGUGGCGAAGGCAGCUCUCUGGGACGGUACUGACGCUGAGACGCGAAAGCGUGGGGAGCGAACAGG
rnacentral:rRNA from 1 species